AUUGAACGCUGGCGGCAGGCCUAAAAAAUGCAAGUCGAACGAGUGGCGGACGUGUGAGUAAUGUCUGGGAACCUGCCUGAUGGAGGGGGAUAACGACUGGAAACGGUAGAUAAUACCGCAUACAAUAAGAUGUGCCCAGAUGGGACUAGCUAGUUGGUGGGGUAACGGCUCACAAAGGCGACGCUCCAUAGCUGGUCUGAGAGGAUGACCACCCACACUGGAACUGAGACACGUUCCAGACUCCUACGGGAGGCAGAAGUGGGGAAUAUUGCACAAUGGGCGCAAGCCUGAUGCAGCCAUGCCGCGUGUAUGAAGAAGGCCUUCGGGUUGUAAAGUACUUUCAGCGGGGAGGCGUUACCCGCAGAAGAAGCACCGGCUAACUCCGUGCCAGCAGCCGCGGUAAUAC
rnacentral:rRNA from 1 species